AUUGAACGCUGGCGGCAGGCCUAACACAUGCAAGUCGAGCGAGCGGCGGACGGGUGAGUAAUGUCUGUGAAACUGCCUGAUGGAGGGGGAUAACUACUGGAAACGGUAGCUAAUACCGCAUACCAUCAGAUGUGCCCAGAUGGGAUUAGCUAGUAGGUGGGGUAACUGCUCACCUAGGCGACGAUCCCUAGCUGGCCUGAGAGAAUGACAGGCCACACUGGAACUGAGAACCGGUCCAGACUCCUACGGGAGGAAGCAGUGGGGAAGAUUGCACAAUGGGCGCAAGCCUGAUGCAGCCAUGCCGCGUGUGGGAAGAAGGCCUUAUUGUUGUAAAGCACUUUAAGCGAGGAGGCGUUACUCGCAGAAUAAGCACCGGCUAACUCUGUGCCAGCAGCCGCGGUAAUAC
rnacentral:rRNA from 1 species